AACCUGGUUGAUCUUGCCAGUAGUCAUAUGCUUGUCUCAAAGAUUAAGCCAUGCAAGUGAAAGUAUAUAUAUAUUUUAUAUGUAGAAACUGCGAACGGCUCAUUAAAACAGUUAUAGUCUACUUGACAUUUUUAUUAUAAGGAUAACUACGGAAAAGCUGUAGCUAAUACUUGCUUUAUUAUCCUUUGAUUUUUAUCUUUGGAUAAGUAUUUGUUAGGCCUUAUAAGAAAAAAGUUAUUAACUUAAGGAAUUAUAACAAAGAAGUAACACGUAAUAAAUUUAUUUUAUUUAGUGUGUAUCAAUCGAGUUUCUGACCUAUCAGCUUUUGAUGUUAGGGUAUUGGCCUAACAUGGCUAUGACGGGUAACGGGGAAUUAGAGUUCGAUUCCGGAGAGGGAGCCUGAGAAAUAGCUACCACAUCUAAGGAAGGCAGCAGGCGCGUAAAUUACCCAAUUCUAAAGAAGAGAGGUAGUGACAAGAAAUAACAAUGCAAGGCCAAUUUUUGGUUUUGUAAUUGGAAUGGUGGGAAUUUAAAACCUUCCCAGAGUAACAAUUUGGAGGGCAAGUCUGGUGCCAGCAGCCGCGGUAAUUCCAGCUCCAAUAGCGUAUAUUAAAAUUGUUGCAGUUAUAACGUUCGUAGUUGAAUAUUAAAGAAUCCGAUGUUUCAUUUAAACUGGUUUGGGAAAACCAAAUAUAUUAUAUAUUUUGCUUUGUUCAAAAUAAGGUUUUCUAAUAAAUUAUGUUUUUAUCAGAUAUGACAGAAUCUUUUUUAAAAUCUCUUCAAUAUGCUUUUAUUGCUUUUGAGAGGUUUUGUUACUUUGAGUAAAAUUAAGUGUUCAUAACAGACGGGUAGUCAUGAUUGAGUUCAUUGUGUUUGAAUACUACAGCAUGGAAUAACAAAUAUGAAUAAGCUAAUUAUUUUUUUUUUUCAUUAUUUUUUUUGAUAUUCUUAUUAGCUUAGUUACGAUUAAUAGGAGUAGCUUGGGGACAUUCGUAUUCAGAUGUCAGAGGUGAAAUUCUUAGAUUUUCUGGAGACGAACAACUGCGAAAGCAUUUGUCUAAAAUACUUCCAUUAAUCAAGAACGAAAGUUAAGGGAGUGAAGACGAUCAGAUACCGUCGUAAUCUUAACCAUAAACUAUGCCGACUAGGUGUUGGAUGAAAGUGUUAAAAAUAAAAGUCAUCUUUCGAGGUGACUUUUAGAUUGCUUCCUUCAGUACCUUAUGAGAAAUCAAAGUCUUUGGGUUCUGGGGCGAGUAUUCGCGCAAGCGAGAAAGUUAAAAGAAUUGACGGAAGGGCACCACCAGGCGUGGAGCUUGCGGCUUAAUUUGACUCAACACGGGGAAACUCACUAGUUUAAGACAAGAGUAGGAUUGACAGAUUAAUAGCUCUUUCUUGAUUUCUUGGAUGGUGAUGCAUGGCCGUUUUUAGUUCGUGAAUAUGAUUUGUCUGGUUAAUUCCGAUAACGAACGAGAUCUUAACCUGCUAAUUAGCGGCGAGUACACUAUAUUCUUAUUUGAAAUUGAACAUAGGUAACUAUACAUUUAUUCAGUAAUCAAAUUAGGAUAUUUUUAUUAAAAUAUCCUUUUCCCUGUUCUACUAAUAAUUUGUUUUUUACUCUAUUUCUCUCUUCUUUUAAGAAUGUACUUGCUUGAUUGAAAAGCUUCUUAGAGGAACAUUGUGUGUCUAACACAAGGAAGUUUAAGGCAACAACAGGUCUGUGAUGUCCUUAGAUGAACUAGGCUGCACGCGUGCUACACUGAUAUAUAUAACGAGUUUUUAAAAAUAUGCUUAUAUUUGUAUCUUUGAUGCUUAUAUUUUGCAUACUUUUCCUCCGCCGAAAGGUGUAGGUAAUCUUUAUCAAUAUAUAUCGUGAUGGGGAUAGAUUAUUGCAAUUAUUAAUCUUGAACGAGGAAUGCCUAGUAAGCAUGAUUCAUCAGAUUGUGCUGACUACGUCCCUGCCCUUUGUACACACCGCCCGUCGCUCCUACCGAUUGAAAGAUAUGAUGAAUUGUUUGGACAAGAAAAAUUGAAUUAUAUUCUUUUUUUUCUGGAAAAACCGUAAAUCCUAUCUUUUAAAGGAAGGAGAAGUCGUAACAAGGUUUCCGUAGGUGAACCUGCGGAAGGAUCAUUA
rfam:Plasmodium falciparum Dd2 supercont1.517 genomic scaffold, whole genome shotgun sequence.